rnacentral:lncRNA from 10 species
GCCAAUAGAAUGUGGACAGAACUGAUGUAAGCCUCUUCCAAGUGUGACCAUUAUUCUGAAUGAUCCUCUAAGCAUUCUCUCUUCACUUGCCUCCGGUCUGGAUGUAGGAAAUCAGUGAAAAGCUUCAAGCUCCUAGGCAAUGAAAGAGCCUAGAUGCCUGAAUGAUUUCAUGGAGCAGAACCAUCACUCUCUUCUACUGAUGAAUCUAUAAUAGACUAUAAGGCACUACCUAUCUUCAACAGCCAAGAGAGCUGAGGAGGGGCCACCAUCAAGCUUUUUGCCAGUGCACUACCUAGGACAGAAUUUUUCAAACUGCAUUCCAUGGAGAGGCUACAAGAAGCAUCUGAGAAGAUGGGAGAAGAUACAUAAGCAUUGAAUGAAUGGGGCUCUACAUCCCCCAACUCCACUUCUGUCAUGGCAGUUCCGCUUUAUCUGCUUCACGUUAGAUUGCAUUUGGAGAAUUGUUCCAUCCUUGAAAGAGAGAGAGAAAUAAACC